AGUUUGAUUACUAUUAAAUUGAGCUUUCAAAGAUGACUUCCCGAGGACAUAUUAUGGUCCCCAAAUAUUUAUUAGAAGAAAUUUUGGUUUACUUUUAAAUGACGUUUCAUGUGGUUUUCUUUUAAUUGAUUUGAAUUCUUAUUUAAUUAAUAAAUCCUUUUAUCAAAACCCUAUUUUUUUAAAGAAGACAUAAGCCGCCUAAACUAAGCUACCCCACUAUGCCAAUUCCAUUCCAUAUCUAUAUGUGUAUAUAUUUCGUAUCAGACGGUUUAGAAACUAAAUAGACAAAAGGGGUAUUUAUGCAUGUUUCUAAUCGCCUAUCCGUUCAUUCACAAUACUAACUCCACAACAUAAGGGGGUUCUUUGCAUUCCUCUGUUCUCGGCCACUAUCGUCGAAGCAAACCCUUUCACCGGAAAACAUGGAGGCUCCGGCAAACACCCUCACACACACUCCCUGUCCCCCGUUCCCGAUAAACAACAACGACAACAACACCUCUUCCUCCUCCAUCUCUCUCUGAUUAAACGGGCCGACCCCCUCUUGGUGGCGGCGGUACUGUUGUGGUGGCUCGACGACAGCAAACCGACGGCCAUGGAGGUCACGUCGGAGUCCGGGCGGCUGAAUAGGUGGUGCUUUGUUUUUCGACAACUUCACGAGAUGAAGAUGGUGGUGACAACGGUGGCUGCGUCGCCGCCGUCUGCGGCGGUGGACGACGGUGGCAGGAGUGGUGGUUCACGGCUCGGGUUAUUUCGGUCCAGUCCGCACCGGUCAAACUGGUGCAGUUUGUGUUCGGGAUAUGUUGAUUUGUUUCGACCUCGGGUCAGCCGAUUUAGUCUCGUUCUGUACACUUAUAUAACCUUUUGAUUCUUUUUCUGUUCUUCAUAUUUCAUUCCUUCAUUUAUUAUUAUUUAUUAUUUGUUGAACCUUUAUAACAUUCAAAAAUUCAAACUUAAACAAAAAGUAAAUUAUACUAACAGGAGGCUCACGAAUUGAAUUAUUUAGCAAAGGAAGGUAACAAUUGAUAUUUGGGUAAUUUAUUCAAACAUUUCCAUCAUUCCAAGUAAUGGAACCUGAGUUGUACAAACAGUUAGGUUCAGACUUUUUUUUAUAUAAUGAAGAAGAUGAACUGAAACCUUGUUCUUAUAUUAUUUUUUUAAAUCAAACUUUUCCUUUUGUUAUAACCAUAAAAACCACUUUAGUUAUAUUUUUUUAUAUAUUUUUUUGUUAUAUUUUUUUUCUCUUUAUUUUAUGAUUACAACUUAAACUUGUUAAAUAAUAACUGACUAACUUAUCUAAAACCCUUUAACUUAUGUUAACCCUUUUUUAUCAUUGAUGUUAUAAUGUGAUAAAAGGAAGUAAUUAUAUAAAUAAAAUAUCUAAUUAAACAAAUUGUAAACUUUAAAUGUUAGAAUUAAAAUUUUAAUCUACAACUUUUAACGAGAUCAUAAUGUGUUAUUUUAAAUAUCUAGGAUAAACACCCUCGUUCGUUCUUUUGGAAUUCCGUUUACUCAUGCACCAUCGUUUGCCCAUAUAGGGUGACCUCGGUGUUCCAUCCUCCUAAUCUCUUACGCUCGUCAACACAUGGAUAAUCGGAAGACUUAGCAAUUUUGUUGAUGAUGAUGAAAUGAAAGAGGUAGCACGAUGCCUAGAUACACACUUUAGACGUUAGGUUUAAUAUGUUGUAUCGAAUUUUGGUUAUGUUGAUUUGUUAUUUUGAUUAAACUUGUUGUUAUUUGGAUCUUGUAUUAAUGACUACUUGAAGUUUGGAAAUGAAAUUUGGAUUAUUAAAUUUUUGUCACAAA